GUCUCAGCACAAGUUUCUGCUUCUCCACAGGGAGAGACCCAAACAUAUCAGGCUCUCAUUGUGUCUUGAGCUCUGAUGAAAUGCCCCGGCCCUUACACUGGCUCCCACAAGGCCUGGGGGCUGAGGUGCUCCUCAGCUUCCCAGCAGAGGCCCACUUGUCCACGGACCUUGCCAGAGGUGGCUUGCAAGCUUCAGCUCUGCCCACCCAGCUCAAACAGAGUCAAAGCCUAGGGAUGGAGUCAGGCUGAGGGUACAUGGAGCCUGCUCCCAGAUAGAUUCCAUCUAGGUCCAGUUGCCAGGACCUCCCUGUCCUAUUCAGAUUCAACUAACAUUCCCAUCAUCACCCACAACAAA
rnacentral:lncRNA from 1 species